CUGAAUAACUACGCUGAUCGCACGGUCUCGAACCGGCGACGCAUCCUUCAAGUGUCUGCCUUAUCAACUGUCGAUGGUAGUUUAUGUGCCUACCAUGGUUGUAACGGGUAACGGAGAAUAAGGGUUCGACUCCGGAGAGGGAGCCUGAGAAACGGCUACCACAUCCAAGGAAGGCAGCAGGCGCGCAAAUUACCCACUCUCAGCACGAGGAGGUAGUGACGAAAAAUAACGAGAUGGAUCUCUAUGAGGCCCGUUAUCGGAAUGAGAACAAUCCAAAUCCUUUAACGAGGAUCUAGCGGAGGGCAAGUCUGGUGCCAGCAGCCGCGGUAAUUCCAGCUCCGCAGGUGUAUAUCUAUGCUGCUGUGGUUAAAAAG
rnacentral:rRNA from 1 species